rnacentral:misc_RNA from 1 species
GCGGCCUGUCAUGCAGCUUGUAUGCGUCUGGCGAGUAACAUGAUGAAUCUUGGCAAAGAAUUUUGGAGGAUGUCUACGUGCGAAAGUGGGUGAGGACAUUGGCAAAUUGGUGGCUAACAUGCUGCUCAAGUGUUUGCGUCGGGCGAGCACAACAAAUGUGUAUGGGCUCCUACGUGCGAGGGAGUGUGACAAGUUGCGUAGGGAAGCGACAUGAACGCACGCAAACGAGAGCGUUUGCGGGAUUGGGUAGG